CCUACGGGCGGCAUCAGUAGGGAAUCUUCCACAAUGGGCGAAAGCCUGAUGGAGCAACGCCGCGUGGGUGAAGAAGGUCUUCGGAUCGUAAAACCCUGUUGUUAGAGAAGAAAGUGCGUGAGAGUAACUGUUCACGUUUCGACGGUAUCUAACCAGAAAGGCACGGCUAACUACGUGCCAGCAGCUGCGGGAAUACGUACGUGGCAAGCGUUAUCCGGAUUUAUUGGGCGUAAAGGGAACGCAGGCGGUCUUUUAAGUCUGAUUGGAAAGCCUUCGGCUUAACCGGAGUAGUGCAUUGGAAACUGGGAGACUUGAUUGCAGAUGAGGAGAGUGGAACUCCAUGUGUAGCGGUGAAAUGCGUAGAUAUAUGGAAGAACACCAGUGGCGAAGGCGGCUCUCUGGUCUGUAACUGACGCUGAGGUUCGAAAGCGUGGGUAGCAAACAGGAUUAGAUACCCGGGUAGUC
rnacentral:rRNA from 1 species